GUGCCAGCAGCCGCGGUAAUUCCAGCUCCAAUAGCGUAUAUUAAAGUUGUUGCAGUUAAAAAGCUCGUAGUUGAAACUUGGGCCUGGCUGGCGGGUCCGCCUCACCGCGUGCACUCGUCCGGCCGGGCCUUUCUUCUGAAGAACCUCAUGCCCUUCACUGGGCGUGCUGGGGAAUCAGGACUUUUACUUUGAAAAAAUUAGAGUGUUCAAAGCAGGCCUUUGCUCGAAUACGUUAGCAUGGAAUAAUAAAAUAGGGCGUGCGUUUCUAUUUUGUUGGUUUCUAGAGACGCCGCAAUGAUUAACAGGAACAGUCGGGGGCAUCAGUAUUCAGUUGUCAGAGGUGAAAUUCUUGGAUUUACUGAAGACUAACUACUGCGAAASAUUUGCCAAGGAUGUUUUCAUUAAUCAGUGAACGAAAGUUAGGGGAUCGAAGACGAUCAGAUACCGUCGUAGUCUUAACCGUAAACUAUGCCGACUAGGGAUCGGGCGAUGUUCUUUUUCUGACUCGCUCGGCACCUUACGAGAAAUCAAAGUUUUUGGGUUCUGGGGGAUUAUGGUCGCAAGGCUGAAACUUAAAGAAAUUGACGGAAGGUCACCACCCAGGCGUGGAGCUGCGGCUUAAUUUGACUCAACACGGGGAAACUCACCAGGUCCAGAUGAAAUAAGGAUUGACAGAUUGAGAGCUCUUUCUUGAUUUUUCAGGUGGUGGUGCAUGGCCGUUCUUAGUUCGUGGGGUGACUUGUCUGCUUAAUUGCGAUAACGAGCGAGACCUUACUCUGCUAAAUAGCCAGGCUAGCUUUGGCUGGUCGCCGGCUUCUUAGAGAGACUAUCAACUCAAGUUGAUGGAAGUUUGAGGCAAUAACAGGUCUGUGAUGCCCUUAGAUGUUCUGGGCCGCACGCGCGCUACACUGACAGAGCCAACGAGUUCUUCACCUUGACCGAAAGGUCUGGGUAAUCUUGUUAAACUCUGUCGUGCUGGGGAUAAAGCAUUGCAAUUAUUGCUUUUCAACGAGGAAUGCCUAGUAAGCGCGUGUCAUCAGCAUGCGUUGAUUACGUCCCUGACCUUUGUACACACCGCCCGUC
rnacentral:rRNA from 1 species